GCCAGGUCGCCAAUCCAAGUAGAAUAGAAACACAGGAAGUAGAAUAGAGACGAACGAUCGAGGAUGGUGAAGAACAACUCCUCUGCGACCUCGGUUCGGCUGAUGCUGAUCCUCCUCGUUCUGCUGGUUUUCGUUGGUGGCAUCCUGGCAAAUAGUGGGCCGUCCAAAUGCAGCAACCCUGCGGCUCAGCGAGACUGCCCGCGGAUCCCUAAUGGCGGCUCAUAAGCACGAGAUGGACCAUUUCCGCGUGGCAGGAUUCGGUAGGAUCUUGUGUUGGCAGGCGUUGGAAGCUUCCUAUUAUACAUGCGAAAAAAACAAUAUACAUGUUCUUGAGGUGUUGGUGUGUGAUCUGUGAUGUUUGUUCGUAUUGAUAUGUUUGUACUGUGACAUGGUUUACAUAUAAAUAAUAUGGCCUACCCCGUA